UGCAAGUCGAACGAAGUAGCAAUACUUAGUGGCAGACGGGUGAGUAACAUGUAGGUAUCUACCCUAUGGCCUGGAAUAACACGAGGAAACUUGUGCUAAUACCGGAUAAGUCUUUACGGAGAAAGCUUUAUGCACCAUUGGAUGAGCCUGCACUUGAUUAGUUUGUUGGUGGGGUAAUGGCCUACCAAGACUUUGAUCAAUAGCUGAUUUGAGAGGAUGAUCAGCCACAUUGGGACUGAGACACGGCCCAAACUCCUACGGGAGGCAGCAGUGGGGAAUCUUGCACAAUGGAGGAAACUCUGAUGCAGCGAUGCCGCGUGAGUGAAGAAGGCCCUUGGGUUGUAAAGCUCUUUCGUCGGGGAAGAAAAUGACUGUACCCGAAUAAGAAGGUCCGGCUAACUUCGUGCCAGCAGCCGCGGUAAUACGAAGGGACCUAGCGUAGUUCGGAAUUACUGGGCUUAAAGAGUUCGUAGGUGGUUGAAAAAGUUGGUGGUGAAAUCCCAGAGCUUAACUCUGGAACUGCCAUCAAAACUUUUCAGCUA
rnacentral:rRNA from 1 species